rnacentral:tRNA from 1 species
CCUGAUAGCUCAGUAGGUAAAGAAUCUGCUUGCAAUGCAGGAGGCCCUGGUUCGAUUCCUGGGUCAGGA